UGGCUCAAUGGUAGAGCACUUGCCUUUCAUGCAUGAGGCCCUGGGUUCGAUUCCUCAG
rnacentral:tRNA from 1 species